AGAGUUUGAUUCUGGCUCAGAUUGAACGCUGGCGGAAUGCUUUACACAUGCAAGUCGAACGGCAGCACGGGUGCUUGCACCUGGUGGCGAGUGGCGAACGGGUGAGUAAUGCGUCGGAACGUACCGAGUAAUGGGGGAUAACGCGGCGAAAGUCGCGCUAAUACCGCAUACGCCCUGAGGGGGAAAGUGGGGGAUCGCAAGACCUCACGUUAUUCGAGCGGCCGACGUCUGAUUAGCUAGUUGGUGGGGUAAAGGCCUACCAAGGCGACGAUCAGUAGCGGGUCUGAGAGGAUGAUCCGUCACACUGGGACUGAGACACGGCCCAGACUCCUACGGGAGGCAGCAGUGGGGAAUUUUGGACAAUGGGGGCAACCCUGAUCCAGCCAUUCCGCGUGAGUGAAGAAGGCCUUCGGGUUGUAAAGCUCUUUCAGCUGGAACGAAACGGUACGCUCUAACAUAGCGUGCUAAUGACGGUAUCGGCAGAAGAAGCACCGGCUAACUACGUGCCAGCAGCCGCGGUAAUACGUAGGGUGCGAGCGUUAAUCGGAAUUACUGGGCGUAAAGCGUGCGCAGGCGGAUUGUUAAGCAAGACGUGAAAGCCCCGGGCUUAGCCUGGGAAUGGCGUUUUGAACUGGCAGUCUAGAGUGCGUCAGAGGGGGGUGGAAUUCCACGUGUAGCAGUGAAAUGCGUAGAGAUGUGGAGGAACACCAAUGGCGAAGGCAGCCCCCUGGGAUGACACUGACGCUCAUGUACGAAAGCGUGGGUAGCAAACAGGAUUAGAUACCCUGGUAGUCCACGCCCUAAACGAUGUCAACUGGUUGUUGGGGGAGUGAAAUCCCUUAGUAACGAAGCUAACGCGUGAAGUUGACCGCCUGGGGAGUACGGUCGCAAGAUUAAAACUCAAA
rnacentral:rRNA from 1 species